CGCCGGAAGUGCCUCUCGGGGCGACCCGGCCAGGGGCCCAGGCCACCGGCGGCCGCCGCUCUGUCGCCACAGACGGGAAGGAGUUGUCGGAGAGAAGGGGACCGGGGAAAGGGGAUCUCAGUGCGGAGAGAGUUUUGGAAAAGAAUGUUGCAAUUGCCCGACCCGUAGGGCACUAUGGGAAAGGUUGUUCGGCGCAGCCCAGCGGCUGGACUGCAACUCCCAGGAUGCCCCUGGACGACCGAGAGAGGCGGCUGCGGUGGCCUCCUCGGCCACGAAGGUGGUACCCCUUCUGAUGCUUAUUUUAUCCGGAUACCGCCCGAGUGCCGAGAGUGGAGGUGGACGAUGUGAUUUGCAUCUGCAAAAUGCAGAAGAUUUGGGACCCGUCUUGGAACCUUCUUCCAUCCCUAGAUUUCCUGAUAGAUGAUGCUGAAGAUCUCUACUCAUCCUGAUUGGAUUUGGAUUUGAGCUUGGUCUCUCUUCCCUACCACCAAAUCCUCGUUGCAGUCGUCCC